rnacentral:rRNA from 1 species
GGGCUUGACAUCCCACGAAUCUCGUCGAAAGACGGGAGUGCCCGCAAGGGAGCGCGGAGACAGGUGGUGCAUGGCUGUCGUCAGCUCGUGUCGUGAGAUGUUGGGUUAAGUCCCGCAACGAGCGCAACCCUCACCUCUUGUUGCCACCAGGUCAUGCUGGGCACUCUAGAGGAACUGCCCCGGUCAACGGGGAGGAAGGCGGGGAUGACGUCAAGUCAUCAUGCCCCUUACGUCCUGGGCUACACACGUGCUACAAUGGCCGGUACAAAGGGAUGCCACACCGCGAGGUAGAGCUAAACCCAAAAAGCCGGUCUAAGUUCAGAUUGGAGUCUGCAACUCGACUCCAUGAAGGAGGAAUCGCUAGUAAUCGCGUAUCAGCACGACGCGGUGAAUACGUUCCCGGGCCUUGUACACACCGCCCGUCACACCACGAAAGCCCGUUGUACUCGAAGUCGCUGAG